GGUUCUAUUUUGUUGGUUUCUAGGACCGCCGUAAUGAUUAAUAGGGACAGUCGGGGGCAUCAGUAUUCAACUGUCAGAGGUGAAAUUCUUGGAUCAGUUGAAGACUAACUACUGCGAAAGCAUUUGCCAAGGAUGUUUUCAUUAAUCAGNGAACGAAAGUUAGGGGAUCGAAGACGAUCAGAUACCGUCGUAGUCUUAACCAUAAACUAUGCCGACUAGGGAUCGGACGGUGNUUAUNUCAUGACCCGUUCGGCACCUUACGAGAAAUCAAAGUGCUUGGGCUCCAGGGGGAGUAUGGUCGCAAGGCUGAAACUUAAAGAAAUUGACGGAAGGGCACCACCAGGGGUGGAGCCUGCGGCUUAAUUUGACUCAACACGGGGAAACUCACCAGGUCCAGACACAAUAAGGAUUGACAGAUUGAGAG
rnacentral:rRNA from 1 species